UUACGGCCACAUCACGCUGAAAUUCCGGUUCCCGUACGAUCCGCGAAGUUAAGCAACAUCGAGCCUGAUUAGUACCUAGAUGAGUGACAGCUUUGAAAUACCAAGUGCUGUGA